AUACUUUCAGUAUUUUCGGUAUAUUUUGAGAAAAAUAGCGUAAUAUUUUGCUUUUAUUAAAAAUGGAUAGCGGGUCUCUCACAGUUGAGCACACUCGACUGUAACUUUCUUACUUGUUUUUAUCUUACACGAUGAGUGAGAGAAAUACAUAAACGUUUCUCUUCACAUGUUCAGUACUAUCUCUUUUGCUGCUUCUUUCGAUUCUAUUGUUGCCUCUGACCACUUUCUAUUGUUGACGUUUAUGGUUAGGUGCAACUUAAUGGCUAAAUGCGCAGUGCUCGGACUCAUAUUCGAAUUCGAACUCUGAGAAUGGCCUUGGCUCUGGAAUUCGAAGCGAUUGAAUGGUUACUCUGGAUUUGCUGGGGCAUUGGGGGUGUUUGUAUUUUAAACAAGCAAGUUGGUUGGCUGAGCGAAUUCACAGACCUACACUCUUUCCACCCUUAUCGCGCUAAAGUGUUUAACAAUUUAAAAAGAAAUGUAGAACGCUGUAACAGAGAGCGCACGACUACGCGUACCUUCUGUAGAUAUGUAGUAACCACCAGAACUUACUAGUUUCCGAUAUCCAACUACUUUCGAAGACAUGUGGCCAGGGAGCUUAGAUAAAUCAAGAAAAUUAAAAUGUAUAAUCGUAUUGUCUUCAGCCUAUUACAUACAUUCGUAGACAACAAUACCAACAGUUCUGUAUAUUUUUAAUAGGCACAGAAAAAAUGGAAAAAUUAGGAAAAUUUGUAAUCUGACAAUUGUGAAGAAUAAAUAUUUGGAUAUAAAAAGGAAAUAAUGUCACAAUCAAGUGUUGUCAAUCCAUAAUUAAAUAGACUGGGAAGUAUCCCCUGUAAAGUUUUAUAGAUUACCAUUAUGGUAUAAAAUAAACUAACUAUACUAAAAUCUGUUACAAUGAGUACAAUUAAAAUUCCGAAAUAAGUUUUCACUGUAAUUAUAAGAAGACACUUAAGAAGGAAUCAUAGUUUUGAAGUUCGUUUUUAUAUUUGAGCUGCAAAACUGUGGUGUUGAGGUCAGUAGCAGUCCCGGUACCAUCAUCAACAGUUCUCCCAGCUCCAUUGGCAGAAAUGCGUCGUGUCACUUAGUAAUUUCUGAAAGUAAAGAAUAUAAAGCGUAGUUUUUCCAACACAACUGUACCUCAUUCACCAUCACCGUUUGCGAUUCUGGUAUGCCCAUCUCAGUCCACACUUUUGUACAGUUAAACUCUCCUCCCACACCCCUUACUAGGAAUAUCACCAUCGUCUUCUUUGACUCCAUCGCCAUCGCCAUAUCUAUCGCCAUUGGCAUUGCCAUUGCCAUCGCGAGCCAUCGGUAUUGCCCAUUCUCCACUCUGGUCCCCAGCCUUGCACCCUUUCAGCAGCCGCUCGGGUGAUUUAAAAAUUUAAUACCUCGCGGCUAUUAAUGGUGGAAAAUGCUUGCGUAAUAAAACAAAACGCAACAACGCGGACUGGGAGAAAUGGGAAUGAUGGAAUAGGAAUGGGAACUGGGAGUGGGAAUGGAAGUGAAAAUGGCCUGGUAUGGCGUUGGAUUGUUAUAUUGGUGGUGGUCGGUAUGCGCAGGACGCCUGCCCACAUCUUUUCAAAAACUGGAACAGGACAACACAGGACAUGAAGGACAAGGCGACAAAGAAGAAGCGAGAAAAAUCAAAAGAAAUAAAUAUGGCGCGUGUUUUGCCAAAAGAAGAAAUUUUAAUUUAAAAUAUUGAUGAUGACGACAACAAAAGCAACAUCGAAAUCGCCAACCCUGUUGGGAUUGCCUUUCUUAGAAGGGCAACCUCUGCUUCACUUACAGUGUUGGCGUUUGAAGGAAACAAAAAGAAAAUAACAUUUUUUUCUCGUGAUGCAUCUUAAGUUUUAAUGUUGGCCCUAUGGCACCUCUCAUUCUCCGUGUCGUUUCGAUUCCGAAAUGGUAUGGAGUCGACUCAGAAGAACAUACAUACGUACAUAGAUGUAAAAGCGCCUCGGACGUUGUCCUAACAACUAGAUGGAUGGGACGAUUUGCAAGUUUAUUAUAAAUGGAAAAAUGUGCUGAAUUGUUCAAAUCUUGAAUUGACUUUUAUAUUUACUCGUAAAGCUUAAAUUCAAUUGUAACUUCUUAUAAACUCUUUCCGAUAAAGAAAUACAAGGCUAUGAAUUCUAUACAUUUAUGUUAACAUAAACUCAAAAAAUUUGUAUACUCUGAAAUAGUCAUAGACAUAUUUUCAGUAAAUUUAGUCAAAAUAAAUUCGAAUAUUUAAGUAAUUAACUAAUAUUUUCAAGAGAAAAUUAUUAGAUGGACAUUAAGUUCGAGUAAGAAGAUUUUGUUAAACUUUAAUAUAAACAAGUAAAAAGGCUGCCAUCGGGUACCGUUUUUAUAAUACCAAACAGGUGUGGUAUUAUCAGAAAAAUUUACCGAAUUAAUAAAUUACAAAAUUCUGAAAUAUAUCAAAACAAUUCAAAAUAUACGAGAGAAUAACUUCUAAGUUUUUAUACCCGCUACCCAUAGGGUAGAAGGGUAUUAUAACUUUGUGCCGGCAGGAAAUGUAUGUAACAGGUAGAAGGAGGCAUCUCCGACCCUAUAAAGUAUAUAUAUUCUUGAUCAGCGUCAACAGCCGAGACGAUAUAGCCAUGUCCGUCUGUCCGUCUGUGUGUCUGUCCGUCCGUCCGUAUGAAACACUGGAUCUCAGAGACUAUAAGAGAUAGAGCUAUAUUUUUAUUUCGACAGCAUUUGUUAUGUUUACACGCAGAUCAAGUUUGUUUCAAAUUUUUGCCACGCCCA